UGGGGAAUAUUGCACAAUGGGGGAAACCCUGAUGCAGCGACGCCGCGUGAACGAAGAAGGUAUUCGUAUCGUAAAGUUUUGUCCUAUGGGAAGAUAAUGACAGUACCAUAGAAGAAAGCUCCGGCUAAAUACGUGCCAGCAGCCGCGGUAAUACGUAUGGAGCGAGCGUUGUCCGGAAUUAUUGGGCGUAAAGGGUACGCAGGCGGUUUAAUAAGUCGAAUGUUAAAGAUCGGGGCUCAACCCCGCAAAGCAUUGGAAACUGAUAAACUUGAGUAGUGGAGAGGAAAGUGGAAUUCCUAGUGUAGUGGUGAAAUACGUAGAUAUUAGGAGGAAUACCAGUAGCGAAGGCGACUUUCUGGACACAAACUGACGCUGAGGUACGAAAGCGUGGGGAGCAAACAGG
rnacentral:rRNA from 1 species